GGCUGGGUAUUGUUUCUCCUGGAACACGAUGGAUUCCUCUGAGUUUAAAUUUGGAGAAAAAUCUCCAUCUCUCUUCCUGACCCUGUGUUUCGAGAUGCUGCCAUAAUCAGUACUGCACCAGAAAUCCCA
rnacentral:lncRNA from 1 species